rnacentral:tRNA from 1 species
GAGGAUGUAGCUCAGUGGUAGAGCAUGUCCAUGGCAUGCACAUGGUCCUGGCUUCGAUCCCCAGUGCCUCCA